rnacentral:rRNA from 1 species
UGAGGAAUAUUGGUCAAUGGGCGAGAGCCUGAACCAGCCAAGUAGCGUGCAGGAUGACGGCCCUAUGGGUUGUAAACUGCUUUUAUGUGGGGAUAAAGUGCGUGACGUGUCAUGCAUUGCAGGUACCACAUGAAUAAGGACCGGCUAAUUCCGUGCCAGCAGCCGCGGUAAUACGGAAGGUCCGGGCGUUAUCCGGAUUUAUUGGGUUUAAAGGGAGCGUAGGCUGUCUAUUAAGCGUGUUGUGAAAUAUACCGGCUCAACCGGUGGCUUGCAGCGCGAACUGGUCGACUUGAGUAUGCAGGAAGUAGGCGGAAUUCAUGGUGUAGCGGUGAAAUGCUUAGAUAUCAUGACGAACUCCGAUUGCGCAGGCAGCUUACUGUAGCAUAACUGACGCUGAUGCUCGAAAAUGCGGGUAUCAAACAGG